rnacentral:rRNA from 1 species
CCUACGGGAGGCAGCAGUGGGGAAUAUUGGACAAUGGGGGGAACCCUGAUCCAGCCAUGCCGCGUGUGUGAAGAAGGCCCUCGGGUUGUAAAGCACUUUCAGUGAGGAAGAACGCCUGGUGGUUAAUACCCAUCAGGAAAGACAUCACUCACAGAAGAAGCACCGGCUAACUCCGUGCCAGCAGCCGCGGUAAUACGGAGGGUGCGAGCGUUAAUCGGAAUUACUGGGCGUAAAGCGCGCGUAGGUGGCUUGAUAAGCCGGUUGUGAAAGCCCCGGGCUCAACCUGGGAACGGCAUCCGGAACUGUCAAGCUAGAGUGCAGGAGAGGAAGGUAGAAUUCCCGGUGUAGCGGUGAAAUGCGUAGAGAUCGGGAGGAAUACCAGUGGCGAAGGCGGCCUUCUGGACUGACACCGACACUGAGGUGCGAAAGCGUGGGUAGCAAACAGGAUUAGAUACCCCAGUAGUC